GACGAACGCUGGCGGCGUGCUUAACACAUGCAAGUCGAACGGAAAGGCCCUGCUUGCAGGGUCCUCGAGUGUCGAACGGGUGAGUAACACGUGGGUGAUCUGCCCUGCACUUCGGGAUAAGCCUGGCAAACUGGGACUACUACCGGAUCGGCGCCCUUUCUAGCGUGAUGGUUGGAGAGUUUUUUCGGUGUAGGAUUAGCUGGCGGCCUAUCCGCUUGUUGGUGGGGGAAUGGCCUACCAAGGCGGCGAAGGGUAGCCGACCUGAGAGGGUGGACGGGCACCAGAGGACUGAGGGAGGGACCAGAGGGCAACGGGAGGCAGCAGAGGGGAGUAUUGCGCAAUGAGGGCAAGCGUGAUGUAGCGACGCUGCGGUUGGGAAGACGGGUUUCGGGGUGCGAAAGGCCUUCGCGAGAAACGAAGCAUGGUGUGACGGUACCGAGAUAAGAAGCACCGGCUAACUACGUG
rnacentral:rRNA from 1 species